UUGCAAUGAUGUUUGAAUUUCUUCACCUGAAAUAUCAUGAAGAUUAAAACAUGAGCUUUUUAACACUGAGCAAU